CCGCCUGCGCCGGGUCCGCCUCGGUCACUUUCAGAGCGCCAUUUCCAGUGCUGAGGGACUGACAAGGAAAACACUCCUCAAGAAGCGCGACAAAAGGAAAUACCUCACCACAAGCUAUACGGAGAAAAAUGAAAUGCGACCAGGCAGUGGUUUGAGAGCGCACCAGUGCCUCGGUCCCACAGGAGAGGCCAUUAACCUUUUUGGGUUAAGCAUGACUAAGAGAGAUGCACUUCAGUGAGGUCAAACACCAGGACACACAGAGAAAUAUCACUGAGAGACCGCCUGAGAGAUUUUUUUGCAGUACUUUUAUAUAAAAAGAAGCACACUAAUAUCUUUGCCUGGACUCUCAACACAUUUAUUUUCUAAUAGACCUGACAGUAAUACAAGCACUUUACCCCCCCAAUUAUGUACAUUUAAACUAUUGAACUGAGCUUACUAAGGAAUCAUAUCAAGGCAUACUAAAUAUAGCAACUACAAUACUGUAUGAGUCAUACUGAAAGAAAAGUACAAGGCGUUAAGUACAUCAGAUAUAUAUUUUAAUGGAAAAAAGUUAUUUAACAGAAAUAAUCUCUCUCUCUCUCUCUCUAUACACACAUAUUUUCAUUCACUGAUAUGAAGAUGAAAUAUAUAUACUGUUUUAUGUGGAAGUUUGGAAAUCUGUAAAAAUGUGAAGAAUUUUAAAAUGUAUGCUAUUUUUUUAUUUAUUACCUUUUAUGUAAAAUAUCUUACCCUGAGUAAGAUAUUUUACAUAAAAGAUGUUUACAUAUAGUCCACAAGACCAAAAAUAGAGCUGGGGGGUGAAAACUUUUUGAAUUUAAAGAUCAAGUAAAUUGUACUUAAUUUGUCUUCCGGGAAACAUACAAGUAUCUUCUGUUGCUUCUGAAGUGCAGUACUAAAUGGGAAAAAAUACAAUAAAUUUCAACAAAAUAAGAAAUUUGGACAUCUUCAUCCUGUUCAAAAGUUUUCACCCCCCUGAUUCUUAAUGCAUCGUGUUUCCUUCUGGAGAAUCAGUGAAUGUUUGACCCUUUUUUAAUAGUUGGGUUUGGGUCUCUCAAUAGUUUGGGUCUCUCAGUUGUCCUCAGUGUGAAGAGAUGGAUUUCAAAACAAUACAGUCACUGCUGGAUUCAAAUAUGCAAAGAUGCUGGAAAACUGAAGAAUCUGCAGGACCUGGAGGAUUUUUCUAAAGAACAGUGCUCAUUUUAACUGUUCAGAACAAACAAGGGACUCAUUAACAACCAUCACAAAACAAAAAAAGUUGAUGUAGAUCAUCCAGGUAACCACACACAGCAUUACAAACCAAGGGUUCCCAAACUUUUAAAGGGUUAUUUAAUAAUUUUUUGGUCUUUUUGGUCUUAUUGACUAUACGUAAACCUCUUUCAUGUAAAACAUCUUACUCAAGACAGUACUAAAUACAAAAUAACAUGCAUUUUGUAUGAUCUCUCUUUUUUGGUUAAAAUUAUUCAUAUUUUCACAGAUUCUGCAAGGGGUUUCCAAACAUUCACAUAAAGCUGUAAGUAUACAAAACGUAAACAAAGCAGCGCUUGCUUACUAUUGUGAGUAUCAGUUAUGUUGAUAACUUUCUUCAUUUUAAGCGGCUCAAGUUAUUAUGAAAAUAUUCACAUAUGAUUGGGUAACAUCAGGUAGCAUUAGAACAGUCUAAUGCUACCUGACAUCAGUCAGUUUGUGCCGUCUUCGUUUACUUACUCGUUUUUAUCAUUUUCGCUAAUUCUCCGACACGACUUGUUCGCUAAACUAAGCAUCCAAUCAGAGAUCUCACUCACGCUGACAGCAAACUGCUGCCAACGUAAGCCCAACGACAGGCGACGUCUGGAUCACACCAAACAAACUGGCCCGACAGACGCUGCCUGAUGGCCCGAAGUUGACCGACUGCCAACCGCCAACCGUUGGCUUGGUGUGUCCUCGUCUUUAUUCUUCAGCUGGGAUCGUGUAGAGCCGUUUGAAGCUGCACUAAAACUGCAAUUUGGACCUUCAACCCGUUGGACACCAUUGAAGUCCACUAUAUGGAGAAAAAUCCUGGAAUAUUUUCCUCAAAAACCUUCAUUUCUUUUCGACUGAAGAAAGAAAGACAUGAACAUCUUGGAUGACAUAGGGGUGACAGUGAGGUGCUUAACUGAGGAGAUGGCGACUGGCAUGCUGAGCAGAGGACACACAUUGAUUAAAGCUGGCAUUUAAAAACUACUUGUCGUAGUUUGUCCCUGCUUUGAGGAGCACCGGAUGGGUUUCAGAUGGAGAUUUCCCCCAGGGACACGGCGCAUCUGAACGUGUUGAUUAUCCACGGCCAUAAGUUACACCCUCAACUGGCCCGCGGACACAAUUAAUCACAUGACCCACCGCCGCGAGAUUAAUUCUGAAGCCUUGGACUACAGCCCUUUCCAUUCAAUCACGGACGGAAAUCUAACAGAGACGGCCAAUAAUACGAGCACACACAGAGACUAAUGAGAAGAUGAAUGCUGCUACACAGGGAGAGAAAAUCAAACAAACAAAUAAACAGAUGCCCUUAUUAGGCAGAUUUGGUUGAAGUCAGGCAAGUGCCGUCCACCAGCUGCUUGUUGUCACACCAGUUACUAGAGUAAAGGACCACUGUAACUCAACCCGCACAUAACAACCCCCUCAUAAUCGCCAUGACAACAUGACGCCCGGUCA